rnacentral:rRNA from 1 species
GACAGAGGUGCCGAGCGUUAGGCGGAAUCACUGGGCUUAAAGCGUGUGUAGGCGGGCCGUUAAGUGCCCCGUGAAAUCCCCCGGCUCAACCGGGGAACGGCGGGGGCAUACUGGCGGCCUUGAGGCACCCAGGGGCGAGCGGAACAGGCGGUGGAGCGGUGAAAUGCGUAGAUAUCGCCUGGAACGCCGACGGUGAAAACAGCUCGCUGGGGGUGUGCUGACGCUGGAGACACGAAAGCCAGGGGAGCGAACGGG